rnacentral:rRNA from 1 species
AACGUGCCCAAUCGUGGGGGAUGACGUAGAGAAAUUUACGCUAAUACCGCAUAAGAUCUAAGGAUGAAAGCGGGGGACCCGUAAGGGCCUCGCGCGAUUGGAGCGGCUGAUAUCAGAUUAGGUAGUUGGUGUGGUAAAAGCGCACCAAGCCGACGAUCUGUAGCUGGUUUGAGAGAACGACCAGCCACACUGGGACUGAGACACGGCCCAGACUCCUACGGGAGGCAGCAGUGGGGAAUUUUGGACAAUGGGCGAAAGCCUGAUCCAGCAAUGCCGCGUGCAG